CAGUUUGUCAGUCAUUUUCUUCUGUGUCCUGCAGAAUGUCUGGCAGACUCUUUCAUGAAGCAGGAACCCUAAAGGACCAUCUCACCUUUAGGCAAGUUCAGCAGUCAUUUUUCUGUGGGUUCUGAAUGUCCAUCCAGUUCACAAAGCAUAACAUCAGGUAGUCCAGUAGCCAAAGCCAUCAUCUGAGCACAAGCCUCUGGGAGCAGCUGGAUUCCCACCACCAGUACGCGAUCCAUCAACUGGAUGAUGCCUUUGUGCACUGCCCAGCCUGUACUUCUGCUUGGAGCAGGCCUGGACAUUCAACUUCUGAACCCAGCUUGAAGAAGGCCAGGGACAGAAGAGAAGAAAAAUCUCUCUGAGAAACCUUGACAACAAAACUGUGCAGUUUUCCUGUCUCCUAAGGUCACUAUCUGCUUUCAAAUGACUCUUUCAGUGACUGCCAGGAGCUGUUCUCCUUCGUCCCCAUCAUUUCUGAUCUGUUUUCCUGGAGUUGCAGCCCAGGGUCAUGCUGAAACUUAAUGUGGGAAGAUUGUUCACAGUGAAGCCAUGUGCUCAGACCAGGGACACAAACAUUUGGGACUGCCAGAUCCAGAGACUGAGCAGGAGGAGCUGGGAUGAAUGGCAAAGUUUAGAGUCUGCAGGGUCAUGGUCACUUGCUAGCCUGGGGGUAUGGUUCCCACACAUGAAUGUCUCCUUGGCUGGCAUUAAAUCAAACUUUCUUUCUGGGCAUGGG